rnacentral:rRNA from 1 species
CCCGCACAAGCGGUGGAGCAUGUGGUUUAAUUCGACGCAACGCGAGAACCUUACCAGGGCUUGACAUCCCCUGACCGCGUAUGAAAGUACGUUUUCACCCUCGGGUGACAGGGAGACAGGUGGUGCAUGGUUGUCGUCAGCUCGUGUCGUGAGAUGUUGGGUUAAGUCCCGCAACGAGCGCAACCCCUACGUUUAGUUGCUAACGCGUGAAGGCGAGCACUCUAGACGAACUGCCGUUGACAAAACGGAGGAAGGUGGGAUGACGUCAAAUCAUCAUGCCCCUUAUGUUCUGGGCUACACACGUGCUACAAUGGCCGGUACAGACGGACGCAAAGCCGCGAGGUGGAGCAAAUCCUAAAAAGCCGGUCUCAGUUCGGAUUGCAGGCUGCAAUUCGCCUGCAUGAAGUCGGAAUCGCUAGUAAUCGCAGGUCAGCAUACUGCGGUGAAUACGUUCCCGGGUCUU